CAGCAGCCACGGGAAUACGAAGGGUGCAAGCGUUAAUCGGAAUUACUGGGCGUAAAGGGUGCGUAGGCGGUUGUUUAAGUCUGUUGUGAAAUCCCCGGGCUCAACCUGGGAAUGGCAAUGGAGACUGGACGGCUAGAGUGUGUCAGAGGAUGGUGGAAUUCCCGGUGUAGCGGUGAAAUGCGUAGAGAUCGGGAGGAACAUCAGUGGCGAAGGCGGCCAUCUGGGACAACACUGACGCUGAAGCACGAAAGCGUGGGGAGCAAACAGGAUUAGAUACCCCCGUAGUCCCUGUCUCUUAUAC
rnacentral:rRNA from 1 species